rnacentral:tRNA from 1 species
GGGGAACUAGCAUAAACUAAUGCAUUUUACUUACACUAAAAAAAAUAAACACAAGGUUUGUUCUCUU